rnacentral:rRNA from 1 species
CCUACGGGUGGCAGCAGUGAGGAAUAUUGGUCAAUGGGCGGAAGCCUGAACCAGCCAAGUAGCGUGCGGGAUGAAGGCCCUACGGGUUGUAAACCUCUUUUAUACGGGGAUAACACGCUGUACUUAUGGAGGUCUGCAGGUACCGUGCGAAUAAGGGCCGGCUAAUUCCGUGCCAGCAGCCGCGGUAAUACGGAAGGUCCGAGCGUUAUCCGGAUUUAUUGGGGUUAAAGGGAGCGUAGGCGGGCUGUCAAGUCAGGUGUGAAAUUGUGGGGCUCAACCGUAGACUGGCAGUUGAGACUGGAAGCCUUGAGUACACGAGAGGUAGGCGGAAUUCGUGGUGUAGCGGUGAAAUGCAUAGAUAUCACGAGGAACUCCGAUUGCGAAGGCAGCCUGCUGGAGUGUAACUGACGCUGAUGCUCGAAGGUGCGGGUAUCAAACAGGAGUAGAUACCCCUGUAGUC